GUAGGUGGCAAGCGUUGUCCGGAAUUAUUGGGCGUAAAGCGCGCGCAGGUGGUUCUUUAAGUCUGAUGUGAAAGCCCCCGGCUCAACCGGGAGGGUCAUUGGAAACUGGGGAACUUGAGUGCAGGAGAGGAAAGUGGAAUUCCACGUGUAGCGGUGAAAUGCGUAGAUAUGUGGAGGAACACCAGUGGCGAAGGCGACUUUCUGGCCUGUAACUGACACUGAGGCGCGAAAGCGUGGGGAGCAAACAGGGAUUAGAUACCCUGGUAGUCCACGCCGUAAACGAUGAGUGCUAAGUGUUGGGGGGGUUUCCCGCCCCGUCAGUGCUGCAGCUAACGCAUUAAGCACUCCGCCUGGGGAGUACGGUCGCAAGACUG
rnacentral:rRNA from 1 species